GCCGAGAGGUUUGUUUGUUCCUGGCGAGGGAGCUCUUUCUAACCUAGGCAGAAGCAGCUAGCCUUCUGAAAUACCCCGGGGCAGGAAUCCCAGGGCUGCUUCCCACCUCCGGACUUCUCAGUAGAACAAGCAAACUCAGUUAAAAUGCCAGAGAUUUUCAAGGAAUGGAACAAAGAAAGCAGAAUGACAGGAAUGAAAGACACUGAAAAAGUCCUCACUGGCAGUAAUUUAUUCUUGUUACUUCUGCAUACCAUCAACGAUGUUUGCAUCUUCAUCAAGGCUAGACAUCUCUGCCUGUGAACUUGGGAUGGAUGGAAGAUGUCUGUGGAAGGAUGCAGAUGAUGAGACCAUUAAAAACUCAACUGUUAUGGACAGUCUUUUUCAAAUUAUUGUUAUUAUUAUUAUUAUUGUGUGUAUUUUAUUAUUCCGUAGUAUCUGACCACCCUCUCUAUUAAAAAUCAUACUUAAUGUUGUCACUUAUGGUACAGUAUACACAUAGCACCAUAGAAACUAGCCAUGGAGUUAGCCCUUACUACUGCAUGAAUGUCUGAAGGAUAGGUACCAUCAACUAUCCUUCUAUCCUGCAUCAAUUAUCCUGUCUACUGCUGCAUGUCCAUUUUUACCUAUCAUUAAGCUUCACAAAAACUUAAGUUACUUAAAAAUUAAACAUUUAAAAGUUUGUUGACAAAACAAUAAACAUGAAAAUUUUUUCUAUUACCUUGGCCAAUAAAAAAUUUAGAAUUUCUAGUUACUAGGCACACAGGACUCUAAAGUAUGCUAUACCUUGCCUGCUUUGGGCUACAAAUAUAUUCUAUUUUCUUGUGAUACCACCUUUACAGGAAGAGUUCUUGCUGACCCCAUAUGCUUGAUGGCUUUGGGGUCUUCUUUCCAGGGCUUCACAUAGCUGCUGUCUUCCUAAGGCUAAAUUGCCUAUUUGGCAGUAGAAUAAUGAAAGUCAUUUCAAGGUUGCUUCUGUCAAAGCCACCAGGUCCAGCAUUCUGGGGACUGCUCUGUAUAUAAAGUGCUUAAUUGAAAUUAAUCAAUGCUACAAAUCAAUUCAGGAUUUAUCAUCAAACACUGUUUUCUGAACAAGACCAGGAAAGAAAUCCCUGGUCUCAUAGAACUCAGGAACACCACGAAGUGGAAGCUUCAUUCU
rnacentral:lncRNA from 1 species